rnacentral:rRNA from 1 species
CGGACCGGCGCACGGGUGCGUAACGCGUAUGCAACCUACCUUUAACAGGGGCAUAACACUGAGAAAUUGGUACUAAUUCCCCAUAAUAUCAUAGAAGGCAUCUUUUAUGGUUGAAAAUUCCGAUGGUUAGAGAUGGGCAUGCGUUGUAUUAGCUAGUUGGUGGGGUAACGGCUCACCAAGGCGACGAUACAUAGGGGGACUGAGAGGUUAACCCCCCACACUGGUACUGAGACACGGACCAG